CAAGAGAGAGUAAGCAGCCAGGUUACUGCCUCUUUAUGGAUGCAAGAACCCUGUUGCUGUCAUCUCUCCCACCUUUGGGGUGCCCCUCUCCACUCUCAGGGCCCUGGCACUGCUCACUUUGCUUUAUCCUAAUAAGUACACAGCCAGGUUCAACUCUUCAUGGAGAAGAGCACACUGCAGGAAUGAGGGACCUGGAGCAGAAAACUCUACUAGUACAAGGAUUAUCAAGGUGUGAGGAAACCUGAGCUGGAACCUGUCUUUCCUAGGAAAAACAAUAUUUUUUUAAACACCUGCUUUGCCCCUCUGGAUCCUGAGUCCUGUGAAAGACAGGGUUCUCAAGAAGAAGGAUCUUGGAGAGGCUCCCAAAAGGCACAGAAAUUAAGAAAGAGGAAGGAUAUCAUCAACUGUACACAAAGCUCAAGCUUCCAAAAUUGAGAAUGCCUGUAACACACCACUGCAGAUAGAAUAGGUCCCCUUCUCCCUUAACCUGCAGAUUUGUUGCCAAAGCUGAGUAGUUCUGUAAUGAAUAAUUUAUUCCAAAUCAUUUCCUUCUUCAGGAAUUGUCAGAAGGGGAUCAUGAAUUUUUUGUCCAUGUAUAUGUUGUACAUACCACUGACAUUG